rnacentral:lncRNA from 1 species
GGAAGGGAGAGGAAGGAUGAUGGAAUCCCGAAUGAAAAGGGCUGAAGAACGGCGAGGGGUGACGAGCGCGAGAGGCAGAGCCAUUCAUCCCCGGACAGGCCCCCGCCCCCUGCCAAGGAGGGGGGCGCCCAAGACAGGCCUCCCGCCACCCCUGGAGCGUUGCCUCUGCACGGGGGGCAAGCCCCCUCCCCGAAGCCCCCUCCCCAGCCGCUUCUCAGAAACCAGGGAAUGCUUCCAGAACGAACAAUUGAGAAGACUGCAGAAUGCAGACCAGAGCACCCAACAGGGUUUGUGGAGUCAAACUGGGGACNUUCACACAACCCUUCAACUGCCGCUAGAAUAAGCUUCUGCAAGAUUCAACAGAUCUUCCCAGGUCCUGCCAGGCAUCAGGCUUUCCAGCAAUCCUAUCUAUAAUGAAUGAAAAAAAUAUUGGACCAUUGCAGGAGAAGUCGUUCUGGUUUUGCACCAGUGUUAUCUCCUUGCUGCGCCCUCUGCUGGAUUAAGUGGCCCUCGAAGUGGAGUUCAACAGUUCCAUUGCUGUUCCUGAGGGUGUCCUGAAGUCUCCAUUUAUGUGCAUGCCUUUCUGAGGUGAGGUGACCAGAAUUGUACACAAUAUUCCAAGUGUGGCCUCACCGUAGAUUUAUAAAGAGGCACCAUGACGCU